GACGAACGCUGGCGGCGUGCCUAAUACAUGCAAGUCGAACGCAUUUUCUUUCACCGUAGCUUGCUACACCGAAAGAAAAUGAGUGGCGAACGGGUGAGUAACACGUGGGUAACCUGCCCAUCAGCGGGGGAUAACACUUGGGAACAGGUGCUAAUACCGCAUAAUUCCAUUUACCGCAUGGUAGAUGGGUGAAAGGCGCUUUUGCGUCACUGAUGGAUGGACCCGCGGUGCAUUAGCUAGUUGGUGGGGUAACGGCCUACCAAGGCUGCGAUGCAUAGCCGACCUGAGAGGGUGAUCGGCCACACUGGGACUGAGAAACGGCCCAGACUCCUACGGGAGGGAGCAGUAGGGAAUCUUCGGCAAUGGACGCAAGGCUGACCGAGCAACGCCGCGUGAGUGAAGAAGGUUUUCGGAUCGUAAAACUCUGUUGUUAGAGAAGAACAAGGAUGAGAGUGGAAAGUUCAUCCCUUGACGGUAUCUAACCAGAAAGCCACGGCUAACUACGUG
rnacentral:rRNA from 1 species